rnacentral:rRNA from 1 species
CAGCCGCCGCGGGAAUACAGAGGAUGCAAGCGUUAUCCGGAAUGAUUGGGCGUAAAGCGUCUGUAGGUGGCUUUUCAAGUCCGCCGUCAAAUCCCAGGGCUCAACCCUGGACAGGCGGUGGAAACUACCAAGCUGGAGUACGGUAGGGGCAGAGGGAAUUUCCAGUGGAGCGGUGAAAUGCGUUGAGAUCGAAAAGAACACCUACAGCGAAAGCACUCUGCUGGGACGACACUGACACUAAGAGACGAAAGCUAGGGGAGCAAAUGGGAUUAGAUACCCCCGUAGUCCCUGUCUCUUAUAC